GCUAACUCCGCAGGGCUCGUGGGGGGCGCUGCCCCGGGAGGGCGACGGGGCGCUUCGUGCCCUGCGGGGCCAGGGGUGAAAGGGCCGGGCUCGGGCGGAUCCCUGGCUCCGGUUGAGUGGGCUCAGCGCGGGUGGCUCUGCACAGCCCCAGGCUGAAAGCGGAGAGUCCCGUGACUCCCGGAGCUGGGGAGUUAAAACAAGUGAAAAAAACCAUGAGUUGGCAACACUGGGGUGGCCUUGGGCAUUAGGCAAUGGCCUGGGACUCAGGAGAUCUGGAUUCAGCUUCUGGCUCUGACAUGGACCCCCUCUGUGAUUGGGGUGUAAAAGUUUUCCUCUCACUUUAAAGACAUGGAUAGUUUUGUUGAACAACUGAAAAGGGGAACAGAGGAAGAGUUUACAGAAGAGUCUGCGUGGGAUGGGUCUGCAGUAAACACCGCAAGCAGUUCACUUUCAGCUAUCUAUUUACCUUUACUCCCGCGGUACCUUCGGCAUCCAACAACCAGAGGUCGAAAGGCAACAGAAUUUCAGGAGACUAAGAAAGCUUGUUUAAAUUACAUUCAGGAUGCCCUGCUACAACACCAGUGGCAGAGGGCUGCAGAAUUCAUGACUAACUAUUUGGAGACAUUAGAGAAUACUUCUGCUGAAAAACGGAUGGCUGCCCCAGAGGUGAUUUGGAGAAUAGGAACUGAAAUUUUGUGCCAUCAUUCCAAGAGCACUAUUGAAGAGUUCAACUAUUUUGCUGAGCGGAUGAAAAAUCUAGGAGUAAAAAGGUAUUUAAAGGUCUGUUUAGAGCAUGUCUUUCACCUCCUGUGUAAUGGACUGAUAGAUGAGGCAUACCAAAACCUGUCCCUGGCAGAAGGCUGGAGAUAUGGAGAACAAACAACUGCUCAGGAUAAAGAAUUGAAACUCAUUCAAGCUUACAAGGGGCUGCUGGACUACUAUAACUGGGCCAAAAAAAGAAAAGCCAUGUUAGAGCUUGAUGGUAAUUUUGCAGACUCUGUUGAACAGGAAAUGCACAGUUUCUUUCGGCAGGCAGCAGUGAAUCUCAAGGAGAUAAUUAAAAUACCUGGAGUUUGGGAUCCUUUUGUGAAGUGCUAUGUGGACCUAUUGGAAUUCUAUGAGGAUUAUGAUGAAGUCCGGCAGGUGUUAAGCGAGUAUGCUUACAAUUCGAAGUUUCCUCCCAAUCCCAAUGCUCAUGUUUAUUACUAUCAGUUCCUAAAGAGACAGGGUGAAUCAAAGAAGACACUGAUGUCUGUGCUCAAGAUUUUGCACGAGAUUGUUCCCUCUCAUGAAUUAAUGUUAGAAUAUAAUGCCAUGCUUCAAAAAUCAAAAAAAAGAGAAAACCAUAGACUGGGGCUGGAGAUUAUUUUCACACUCCUGGAUUUUGCUGGGUGGAAGGAGCAUGUGAAAGCUUGGAGCUGUUUAGCAAAACAGAUUAAACAGAUCCUGGAGAACUCUGGCAAGCAUCUUGACUGGGUCACGGAGGAGUGGAACUCCAGAAAGGAUUGGUGGCCAGCCUUCCACUUUAGCCAUUACUUGGCGAAAAGAAAUUGGCAGGAAAAUGAAAGUCUUGCUUGUGAAAAAGCAUUGGUGGCUGGAAUCUUAUUGGGAAAAGAUUGCAAAUACUUCAAAUAUGUUUCACACCAAGGCUGCAAAGCCAAGAAGGAAAAAUUUCAGACAAUGAAGAAAUUUGUGAAGAAACACAGCUCUGCCCAUUUGAGAGCAUCUGGUGUUUUGGAUUCCUGCACACACCUUUGAUGUUUACAAGAUGUCUUUAAGUAGGCCCAGGGAGGGGCAUGUGGCUUGCAGCACUGCAACAUCCUCUUGGACCUGAGACCUGGAGUUGUCCUCGACUAGCCAGUUGUCAAGGAUAGAUCUGGAUACCCCGAUGCCUGAGGGCCUGGCCAUCGAAGGAGAGGUCCUGCAUCGAUUGCUGAGCCUCCAUUGACAGACUCGAGAGGAGCAGCCAGGACGUCCUUCGCAUGGAGAUGGCCGAGGCCAUGGUGCGAGCUGCGGAGUCUGCUUCCUCCAAGGCUGCUCGGAGGGUCGCGUUCGCUGCUGCUGUGCUCUUUUCAAGGAUCGCCCAGAAUUCCUUCUUGGACCCUUCAGGCAGCGAGACCUUGAAUUUGGCCAUAGACUGCCAUGUAUUGUAGUCAGAGCAGCCAAGGAGGGCUUGGUGGUUGGCCACUCAACUGAAGACUGGAAGAAGCAUAAAUUUUUCGCCCAAACAGAUCCAGUCUCUUUGAGUCCUUAUUCUUGGGUGUAGCCCCGGGCUGACCCUGCCUCUCCCUCUGGUUAAUGGCUUCAACUACAAGGGAGUUUGGGGCUGGGUGAGUAUAGAGAUACUCAUGGUCUUUAGCUGGCACAAACUAUUUGCACUCAGCCCUUUUUGAAAGGGGUGACAGGGAGGAGGGGGUUUGUCAUAGGGCAUUAAUUAUUUUCGAUACCCCCUUGUGUAGGAGUAAAGCCACUCUAGUGGGUGCCUUGGAACAAAGGAUGUCGAACAGUGAGUCUGACAGAUUCUCAAGUUCCUCUGCUUGGAGCCCCAGGUUAGAAGCGACCCUCUUCAAAAGCUCCUGAUGACCCUUGACGUUGUCUUGUGGAACUGGGUGAGGGGGACCCGUAAUCGUUUUGUCCGGCAAUGAUGAGGAUGAAGCCAGCGCCGAGGGAUCCACCACAUCCCUUGGUGGUCCAACUGGCUGCUCCACUAGGUCCUCGUGGGCCGGGGGUGGGGUGGGAGAGGUGUGUUUUCCCCUGUGAGGCCUCCACCUCUGGCGGAGGGUGGGAUGCUGUGGCUGAUGGCCUAUCUGAGGCCCCCCCCACUGAUCGGGCAGCCUGGGAAGGCUGGGUGAACCUGCAUGGAUUCCAGGGGUACCACAUGGCUGGCCAUUGGCCCAAAGGCUAUGCGGUCAGUUGCAGUGCCAAUGAGGUUGACGGUACCACUGAUGCCAGGGCCUAUCCUGCUACCAGGGACUUCUGAUUAGCACCAGAGUCGUAAGCAGAAUGGAUGCUGCAGAGUGACAAUGACCAGCUGGCCAGGUGCCCCUCCUCCCUGUGGUGCUGGCUGCUGUGCUUCAACGCCGACCUGUCUGAUUGGGACCAGUUCCUCCCAUGGGACCUCAGAGAUCUUCGGCGUUUGGUGGAACAGCAUCGGUAGACUGAUUAUCUACGCCUCACACUGCUUGACUUGUACUGGGAUCUAGAGCGGGACUGGGAUCUGGAGUGGGCUGGUUGUCCAUAGAAUCUCCCCAAUCGAGGGGAUUCGUGUCUUGGUGAUGGGCGGGUGACCAGUGAUACCGUUCUGUCGAUUAUUCGCAGGAUCAGUGCCGAGAUGUUGGAGACCCGAUGGGUCUGUCUCGACGCUCAUGCCAGGGGCCACAUGCCUCCACAGGUCUGUGCCAGGUUACCGGUGAGCCACACCUCGAAUCCCGCUGUCAGUACCCAGGCUCUGGAUUCCGAAGAGGGCAUCUCUGAGCCUACCUUCCAAAGUCUGAGGCAUGACAGCUCCAUGCAGGUGAAUGUUGGCGGGAUGUCCCCCUCAAUUGGGGAGCAGCACUGCUGAGGUGGGGACACUUGGAAUGGUCCCAAGGCAGGUUUACCCCUGGGCUUGGGUACCCCUGGAGCCGUGUGGGCGGCACCGGUAGCGUCAGGAUCUCCUGCAGGGCCUCGGGCGUCGACGGGACUUCGAGUUGACAGAGGCCCUCGUCACUGUCCAGUGUGGCAGGCAUAGUAUGGGAGGGGGUCGACCCCUCGACAUGAGCUGGGGCCCGACUCCCUGACGGCGGUGUUGAGCCACCCAGUAUCAAUCUUGGCUCUCCUCCGGCCCUCUCCUUUCUCUUACGGGAAGUAGGAGAUCUUCCCCUCGUGGACCUCUUGGGCUUCUUGGCCAGGGAGGGAGAUCAGUGCUGGCUUGUAGACAGCUGAGGCAGGGACCUCCGUACACAUGCUCCAGUGCCGGGGUCAGCGCCAACUCCAUCAGGAGUGCCCUAAGAUGGAUGUCUUUCUCCUUUUUCAUUCUGGGUUUGAGUGAUUUACAGAUGCAACCCUUGUCACUUAUGUGUCCUCCUAGACACCUUAAACUGCCACAUGUCACUGGUGGAAAGAAGGAACUGAGGGUGCGGGGAGCCGACAGUGCCCCUUAUACCACAGCAUGUGCAUGCCACUCCAGAGGGCUCCAGAGCCGGUCCCCUACAGAUACUGCUAAAGGAAAAUCUGGCACCGGCGCAUGUGGCAAGCACACACACACCUAAUAUGGAAUGGACAUGAGCAAUCACUUGAAGAAGAACUCCCAUAUUCCUCAUUUUUAUAUAAUCGUGAUCUUACCUUACGAGGCAUGCUUUAUAUCCGGGGUAGGCAACCUAUGGCAUGCGUGCCAAAGGCGGCACAUAAGCUGAUUUUUGAGUGGCACUCACACUGCCCGGGUCCUGGCCAUGGGUCCGGGGGGCCUCUGCAUUUU